ACACCUCAACUCUCAUGGUUUGCCAUGAUGAGCUUGGACUUUGGGGGUCUUGCUGGCCUGUGGUCAGCUCCUCUCAAAUGGAUAAGCUUGCCAGUGUUUGGUGGCAUCACAGGUGUGAUAACUAUCUACGCCUGUGGUUUUCUACCAGAUAACCUUCAGUGAUGGAGGUUCACUGGAGCUCAUAAAAGUCUCUCCUCAGUGAAGACAGCUUUCUGAAC
rnacentral:misc_RNA from 1 species